rnacentral:rRNA from 1 species
UUAGGAAUCUUCCACAAUGGGCGAAAGCCUGAUGGAGCGACGCCGCGUGAGGGAUGAAGGCCUUAGGGUUGUAAACCUCUAAAAGAGGGACGAUAAUGACGGUACCUCUUGAAUAGCACCGGCUAACUCCGUGCCAGCAGCCGCGGUAAUACGGAGGGUGCAAGCGUUAUCCGGAAUCACUGGGCGUAAAGGGCGCGUAGGCGGUCUGUUAAGUCCGAUGUUAAAUCCCGGGGCUCAACCCCGGAUAAGCGUUGGAUACUGGCAGGCUAGACGGUUGGAGAGGUGAGUGGAAUUACCAGUGUAGCGGUGGAAUGCGUAGAUACUGGUAGGAACACCCAUUGCGAAGGCAGCUCGCUGGACAACACGUGACGCUGAGGCGCGAAAGUGUGGGGAGCAAACC